rfam:Rhizobium sp. LC145 LC145_contig1, whole genome shotgun sequence.
GCGGACGUGGCGAAACUGGUAGACGCAAGGGACUUAAAAUCCCUCGGGCUUGCCCGUGCGGGUUCGAUCCCCGCCGUCCGCA